rnacentral:rRNA from 1 species
AUCUAUGGCCACGCCACCCUGAACAAGUCCAAUUCCGUCUGAUCUCAGAAGCUAAGCAGAGUCAGGCCUGGUUAAUACUUGGAUGGUUUGGAUGGAAGACCACCUAGGAAGACCAGGUGUUGUAGGUG